AAGUCGUAACAAGGUUUCCGUAGGUGAACCUGCGGAAGGAUCAUUAACAAAUCUAUGAGCGAAAGCUCAUCAACCUUUGUGAAUUGGGUUGUAUAGUUGGUAACAAUUAUACAAUUUCGUUGGGGUCCCUUUGUGUAAUAGAAAGAUUAUUUUGAAAGAUUUAAUUUUUUCUAUUGCAUAUAUAUUAACAUUGUCUGAUUAUAGAUUGAAGUCGUAAGAUUUCAAAUAAAAAUACAACUUUUAACAAUGGAUCUCUAGGCUCUU
rnacentral:misc_RNA from 1 species